rnacentral:rRNA from 1 species
UACGUAGGGCGCGAGCGUUAUCCGGAAUUAUUGGGCGUAAAGAGCUCGUAGGCGGUUUGUCACGUCUGCUGUGAAAACUGGAGGCUCAACCUCCAGCCUGCAGUGGGUACGGGCAGACUAGAGUGCGGUAGGGGAGAUUGGAAUUCCUGGUGUAGCGGUGGAAUGCGCAGAUAUCAAGAGGAACACCUGCGGCGAAGGCGGGUUGCUGGGCCGACACUGACGCUGAUGCGCGAAAGCUAGGGGAGCGAACGGG